AGAGCGAACGCUGGCGGCAGGCCUAACACAUGCAAGUCGAACGGACCCUUCGGGGUUAGUGGCGGACGGGUGAGUAACACGUGGGAACGUGCCUUUUGGUUCGGAAUAGCUCCUGGAAACGGGUGGUAAUGCCGAAUGUGCCCUUCGGGGGAAAGAUUUAUCGCCAUUAGAGCGGCCCGCGUCUGAUUAGCUAGUUGGUGAGGUAAUGGCUCACCAAGGCGACGAUCAGUAGCUGGUCUGAGAGGAUGACCAGCCACAUUGGGACUGAGACACGGCCCAAACUCCUACGGGAGGCAGCAGUGGGGAAUCUUGCGCAAUGGGCGAAAGCCUGACGCAGCCAUGCCGCGUGAAUGAUGAAGGUCUUAGGAUUGUAAAAUUCUUUCACCGGGUACGAUAAUGACGGUACCGAGAAGAAGCCCGGCUAACUCGUGCCAGCAGCCGC
rnacentral:rRNA from 1 species